rnacentral:misc_RNA from 1 species
GUAUUAGUUUAUAGGGUAGAACCCAUAUAAGACAUUCAUAACAUUUUGAGUUUGUAAAGACAUAAGCCAUGACAUGCAAGGGAAGCCCGAAAGCAGUCCCUCAGAAUCCAGUCUUGCGACCGACAAAUAUAUCAUAGCCUACAAAAGGUGCACAGGUGGUAAGAAAGAAAGGGCGAGCACAUGCUCAUAAGAGCCAGCUGCAACCCUCAACUUCAGUAAUGAUCCUUCCGCAGGUUCACCUACGGAAA